UACGAAGGGGGCUAGCGUUGCUCGGAAUUACUGGGCGUAAAGCGCACGUAGGCGGCUUUCUAAGUCGGGGGUGAAAUCCUGGAGCUCAACUCCAGAACUGCCUUCGAUACUGGAAAGCUCGAGUCCGGGAGAGGUGAGUGGAACUGCGAAGUGUAGAGGUGAAAUUCGUAGAUAUUCGCAAGAACACCAGUGGCGAAGGCGGCUCACUGGCCCGGUACUGACGCUGAGGUGCGGAAAGCGUGGGGAGCAAACAGG
rnacentral:rRNA from 1 species